rnacentral:rRNA from 1 species
UACGGAGGGUGCAAGCGUUAUCCGGAUUUACUGGGUUCAAAGGGUGUGUAGGCGGACCAUUAAGUCAGCGGUGAAAUCUCCGGGCUCAACCCGGAAACUGCCAUUGAUACUAUUGGUCUUGAAUGUUGUUGAGGUGGGCGGAACGGGUCAUGUAGCGGUGAAAUGCAUAGAUAUGACCCGGAACACCGAUUGCGAAGGCAGCCCACUAAGCAACGAUUGACGCUGAGGCACGAAAGCGUGGGGAUCAAACAGG